AUAAUAUAUUUUUAUACGACCGCAAAUUUUGAAAAAAUUUUCGUCGUAUAUUGCUAUCACGUUGGCGUCGUCGUCGUCGUCGUCGUCGUCGUCCGGCGUCCGAAUACUUUUAGUUUUCGCACUCUAACUUUAGUAAAAGUGAAUGGAAAUCUAUGAAAUUUUAACACAAGGUUUAUGACCACAAAAGGAAGGUUGGUAUUGAUUUUGGGAGUUUUGGUCCCAACAUUUUAGGAAUUAGGGGCCAAAAAGGGCCCAAAUAAGCAUUUUCUUGGUUUUCGCACUAUAACUUUAGUUUAAGUUAAUAGAAAUCUAUGAAAUUUUGACACAAGGUUUAUGACACAAAAGAACGGUUGGGAUUGAUUUUGGGAGUUUUGGUCUCAACAGUUUAGGAAUUAGGGGCCAAAAAAGGGCCCAAAUAAGCAUUAUUCUUGGUUUUCGCACAAUAACAUUAGUUUAAGUAAAUAGAAAUCAAUGAAAUUUAAACACAAUGUUAAUGACUACAAAAGGAAGGUUGGUAUUGAUUUUGGGAGUUUAGGUCCCAACAGUUUAGGAAUUAGGGGCCAAAAAGGGACCCAAAUAAGCAUUUUUCUUGGUUUUCGCACCAUAACGUUAGUAUAAGUAAAUAGAAAUCUAUGAAAUUUAAACACAAGGUUUAUGACCAUAAAAGAAAGGUUGGGUUUGAUUUUGGGAGUUUUGG
rnacentral:lncRNA from 1 species